UAGGGUGGUUUUAGCGGUGGGGCUCACCUGUUCCCAUUCCGAACACAGAAGUUAAGCCCACCAGCGCCGAUGGUACUGCGACAAGCGGGAGAGUAGGUCGCCGCCAGUUUUUUU
rnacentral:rRNA from 1 species